UCACCCUGGAUAGCAGCAUUUCCUUCACCUUCCUGGCAGAGGGAACCAACAGCAUCACUGUCCAGGUGGCUGCUGGAAAUGCCCUUAUUCAGGACACAAAAGAUAUCGCUGUUCAUGAAUACUUCCAGUCCCAACUGUUGUCCUUCUCUCCAAACCUGGAUUACCACAACCCUGACAUUCCUGAGUGGAGGCAAGAUAUUGGCAAUGUCAUCAAGAGAGCUCUGGUUAAAGUAACCGGCGUCCCGGAAGACCAGAUCCUAGUUGCCGUGUUCCCUGGUCUCCCCACUUCAGCAGAGCUCUUCAUCCUUCCCCCCAAGAACUUGACGGAGAGGAGGAAAGGCAAUGAAGAGGACCUG